CAGUGACUGUUAUAUACUGUGAAGUGUGAAGUGUGAAAUCGUUACAGUUUAUAAACCUGACACUUGAUCCAGUAAGGUGCAUCUCAGGACUAAGGUGAAUGACCAUUGAGCACACUGCUUCUCGUGUGGUCAAGUUUGGUGAUCUAACCAAUAGUUCCUUUUCUUAAACCAAUUCAAAACUAAGUUGUGAGUACAUUUGCAAAGGCACACACUUCCAUGAUGGCUUAUUAUUAAGCUUGUUAGAACGAACCUCACCAUUUAUUUUUAUUAUAAUCCUCCGAACCUUUGAUAAAAUGCGAACUCUUGUGCUAGCCGCAGCAGCUCUUUUCAUUUUGACAGUUGUGGAUGCAAAAUGCAAAGGGAAAAAAGUUAAACAGUUUGAUAAAUGCCUUGCCAGUGGCUUCAAAUCUACAAUAGAGGGCUGUUCUGCUACAGGAGAGGGCAAAUUGAAGAGAAGGCAGACGAAGAAGUGUGCGAAGGUGGAGAAGAUAUUGAAGAAAUGUGACUACACUUGUAAAGUUGAUAUUCCAACAGUUGACGGUGGAUGGAGUGACUUUGGAGAGUGGUCGGUCUGUUCUGCUGAAUGUGGAGGAGGGUCUCAAAUGAGGAGUAAGACCUGUACAAACCCCAGUCCAGCGAACGGAGGACAAGAAUGCGAGGGGGAAGAUGAGGAGUCGAGGACUUGCAACCCUGAUCCCUGCCCAGUCGACGGUGGAUGGAGUGACUUGGGAGAGUGGUCGGUUUGUUCUGCUGAAUGUGGAGGCGGUUCUCAAAGCAGGAGUAAGACCUGUACAAACCCCAUUCCAGCGAACGGAGGACAAGAAUGUGAGGGGGGAAAUGAGGAGUCGAGGACUUGCAACCCUGAUCCCUGCCCAGUCGACGGUGGAUGGAGUAACUUUGGAGAGUGGUCGGUUUGUUCUGCUGAAUGUGGAGGAGGUUCUCAAAGCAGGAGUAAGACCUGUACAAAUCCCAUUCCAGCGAACGGAGGAAA